CGCGGAGUAGAGCAGUCUGGUAGCUCGUUGGGCUCAUAACCCGAAGGUCGGUGGUUCAAAUCCAUUCUCCGCUA
rnacentral:tRNA from 3 species